GGUGUUACAUUUAUUGCUCAAUUUUUGGGUUUAAGAAGCUUUUUAAUAAGCUUCAAUGGAGGAAGAUAAGAAAAGUGAGAGAGUUGAGAGAGAAGAGAUGGAACGACAAUUGUAGAAGAUGACUUUUUUUUUUCUUUCUUUUAUAAAUUAAGCCUUUAUGGAAGACCACAAAUUAAUCCGAAUUUAAUUUUUUUAUUGUUAUUAUGUUUAUUGCAUUAUGCAUGAUGUCAUCACUUUUCAC
rnacentral:misc_RNA from 1 species